rnacentral:misc_RNA from 1 species
CGGAAAAUUCCUCAGAGAAUGAGGAGGAUGAUGAUGAUGAGGUUAUUGAGGAGGAGCUGAAGAACGCAGAUGAGAGAACAAUGGACAGAAUAAAAUUGGGAUAGUAAAUGGUACAGGGAAAGGGGGUGGGGUUGUUUUGUUUGUUGUCCUUAUUGAAACUGCCAAAUUUCAGUAUCAGUUGAUUUAUACUAAUAUUCUGGGUAGGAACCCACAGGAUUAUUGCUCUAAAGAGAAAUCCUGUGGGUUCCAGUGGUGACAUUACAUGAUGAUGAUGUAUCAGUGUACUGAUAAUUUUUUUUGGUGAAGUCUGACUAUAAAGCAGGCUUUUUAUUUAUUCCAAUUAAUAGAACUGAUGUGAUCAGCAUAAUGAAUUCAAAGUAGAAUAGUUUUUAUAAAUCUAAGAGAUGAAAUUGAACUGUUAAUUUUUGUUUAUUUCGAUAUUGUCAUUUUAUUUUAUUAAAAGAUCAAUUAAC